rnacentral:rRNA from 1 species
GACGAACGCUGGCGGCGUGCUUAACACAUGCAAGUCGAGAGAGAAACCUUCGGGUUUCUAGCGGCGGAGGGGUGAGUAACACGUGGGUAACCGGCCUCAAAGAGGGGACUAGCCUCCCGAAAGGGAGAUUAAUACCGCAUAAUAUUACAGCUUCGCAUGAAGCAGUAAUUAAAGGAGUCAGCCGCUUUGAGAUGGACCCGCGGCGCAUUAGCUAGUGGGAGAGGUAACGGCUCACCAAGGCGACGAUGCGGAGCCGACCUGAGAGGGUGACCGGCGACAUUGGAACUGAGACACGGUCCAGACUCCUACGCGAGGCAGCAGUGGGAAAUAUUGCACAAUGAGCGAAAGCCUGAUGCAGCAACGCCGCGUGAGUGAUGACGGUCUUCGGAUUGUAAAGCUCUGUCUUUUGGGACGAUAAUGACGGUACCAAAGGAGGAAGCCACGGCUAACUACGUGCCAGCCGCCGCGGUAA